GCUACAACUUUUUCCACUUCUCUCAUCACUCCAAGCACCAGCUUUCUCAUCCUGCUUAUUUCACAGCCAUUUUAACCUUUCCCUGUUCACGCUGCACAUUAUUGAAUGUCCAUUUGUCUGCACCACCUCUGUCAUCUAUAGACCACCUCCUUCUGCUUUCCUGCUACAAUGCUUUGCGUACCUAAGUAUUUCGCAUUCUCCAGCUCUGCAGUCAUUGGGAAGAUUUUCUGUUUUUCUUUGCACUAUGGCAACCUUUCAGUCUUGGGUAAACUAGAGACUAGGAGAAGUGCACAUUGGGAAAAGUUCAGUUAGAAGACAUACUUCACCAUCUUGAAAAAGAAGAAAUCAAUCCCCUUGCUACUACAGAACAACAACUCUGUUUGGUGCUUAUUCCAGCCAGCACAGUGAAGACAGGCUGAGGACCGCUACCACAGAUGUAGAAGAGCUUAUAGUGAAGCACAUGGGUGAAACAAAAGAAGUGAGAACUAAUAGCAUAGAAUUUUAAAGACACCUGUGAUUUUGUUCAUUGCCCUUCAUUAAAUUGACAUAUUAAAAACUAAUGUUUGGCUAUCACUGUAUAGUUUGAAAAGCACCCACAUGUAGACUUUUUUUUUUUUCUAAUGAAACAUGGCGACAGUCUGUGUUGGUUUCCAUUAAGACUCCAUGUAUAGGAUGUUGCCCAGUGAUGACUGGCUGAACAUCUAAACAGGACUGCUCCAGGUAGCUUUUAUUAUC
rnacentral:sRNA from 1 species